AGUUUCUGAUCUCUGUUACUGAAAUCAAAAAUGUUAGGAAGUUUCUUUUCUUCAAUGCUUUGCAGCCAUUCCUAUUAACAAGCAGCUCUACAGCAUCAGCUAUGUCUGUUUCACAGCCGGUGCAGCUGGAAUUGUGUUUUCUGGAUUCUACAUUCUGAUUGAUGUUUUGGGAUGGAGGACUCCAUUUUUAUUCCUGGAGUGGAUAGGGAUGAAUGCUAUGCUAGUUUUCGUACUCGGAGCACAAGGAAUCCUUGCAGGAUUUGUGAAUGGAUGGUAUUACAAGAACCCUGAUAACACACUUGUUAACUGGAUUCAGACACAUGUAUUUAUCAAUGUUUGGAAAUCAGAGCGACUAGGAACCCUUUUGUAUGUGAUAUUUGCUGAAAUUACAUUCUGGGGAGUUGUAGCAGGCAUCUUGCACAAAUUGGGUAUAUACUGGAAGUUAUAAGAAGCACAUACUGCUCUAAGUAUACAGAGGAAUGGCGUGUUGAUAUAUUAGAAUAUUCACACAUUAAUCUUAAGAAUUCAAAAUGCUAUUAGUAUUUCUCUGUGUUGUCUUUUAGAGUACCCAAAAUAUUACAGUGGCUUUGUUUAAAAUAUUGUGAGAGUUCAAAGGAAGUUUUGGGCACAAGUUUGCAAAAGA